rnacentral:lncRNA from 1 species
CUUUGCCCUUUUUAUCUCCUGAGGUCUCUGAGUUCCAGUUUGUCCCGUGUUUGCUUUCACGCAGCUGUUUUGAGGCGUGAGUUAAUAUGAUGCUAUCUAAAGGAAAAGCAGUGUGAUAGUUUCUUAGUGGCACUGAUCAGAUGGGAUGGAUUUGAAGCUGUUCAGACAUAUGACAUUAGAGAUGCAAAAUUCCCUAGCCAAGAGAGAAGGUCACUGAUCCUCCAUCAGUCAGCGCACAACAGAUUCUCAUUCUUUAGAGUGGAUUUUGAGAUUUGCAAAUAGAAAUUAAAUCCCU